GGGACACAACUAAUCUAACAUUUUAGAUUAGGUUCAAAUACAUUUAAGAAAUAAGAUGAGUAAACUUGAAUAUGAAAUGAAUACAAAAGAGGCAAGCAUGUGGGUUUUGAUUGGAGGAGAUGAUGAAAGUUGUGUCAUUUGUGUGAGAGUGUGUGUGUAGAGAGAGAGAGAGAUGGUCAAAGGAAAAAUGAGAUGUCAAAUCAAAUAACAGUGAGUGAGAGAGAAAGAUAGAGAGCAAAAAAAAAAUAACUGUUGAUACCAUCAAUCUUUGCUCCCAAACAACCCAUCACACCCUUUGGGCUCCACUCUCUUCUCUUUUGUUUUUUUAUCACCCUCCUUCACAUUAGUUUGUGCUUCUUCACCCAUUUAUCAUCAUCUUCAUGUACAUACAUACACGUGUAUAUACAUGACUGCAUGCAUACGUAUGCAGAUAUAGGAACCGAAGGAAUAUUCACUGUUUAUG